UACGUAGGGUGCAAGCGUUGUCCGGAAUUAUUGGGCGUAAAGAGCUCGUAGGUGGUUUGUCGCGUCUGCUGUGAAAACUCGGGGCUUAACCCCGGGCCUGCAGUGGGUACGGGCAGACUAGAGUGCGGUAGGGGAGACUGGAAUUCCUGGUGUAGCGGUGAAAUGCGCAGAUAUCAGGAGGAACACCGGUGGCGAAGGCGGGUCUCUGGGCCGUAACUGACGCUGAGGAGCGAAAGCAUGGGGAGCGAACAGG
rnacentral:rRNA from 1 species